rnacentral:ncRNA from 1 species
GAUGAAUUUGACUCUAGUUUUCAUGUAAAUGGUUUUUGUGUGAAUUAUUAUAUGUAAGUUAUGGCGGGUUAAAUUAUUUCUAAAGGAUUAGAUUUUAAUUAAUUAUAUUAAAAAUUCGCAAUUCUUAGUAUUGUUAUAUUUAAUGAUUUAAGAUUCAUUUAUCCAAUAGUUGGCUAGCAAAAAUUGUGCCAGCAGCUGCGGUUACACAGUUGGCCAAAUCAUUUAGUUCUAGCUUGGUAUUGAAAUUGUUUAUAUAUUAAUGAGUAAAGUUAGUUUAGGGUGAAAUCUGACUAGUGUUGUUAUUUAAAGAAGAGAUUAAAUUAUAUGAUACCUGUUAAAAGACUAGGAUUAGAUACCCUAUUAUAUCAGGUUUAAAGAUUUUUAAGGUUAUAGUAUUGUUAGUAGGUUCUUUAAAUUAAAAGAGUUUGACGGUAAUUUAUCAUUCUAGAGGAACCUGUUCUUUAAUCGAUGAUCCACGAUAAAUUUUACUUUGAUCAUUGUUUAUAUAUCUCUGUUUGUUGAGUGUUUUAUAAGGAUUAUAUUCUCAUUUUCUCUUUAUGGGGUAAUGUCAGGUCAAGGUGUAGCAUAUAUUGAAGGUUGAAAUGGGUUACAUUAAUGUUUGUAAUUUUGGAUUAAGUAAGGUGUAUAUCUAGUUUAUGAAAUAGGAUUUAGUAGUAAGGCAUAUUAUGUUUUAUGCUUGACUUUUGCUCUUAGUUAAGUACACAUCGCCCGUCACUCCCGCCAAAAAGGUGGGAUAAGUCGUAACAAAGUAGGCCUACCGGAAGGUGGGCCUGGAAUUAA